GACGAACGCUGGCGGCGUGCUUAACACAUGCAAGUCGAACGGUAAGGCCCUUCGGGGUACACGAGUGGCGAACGGGUGAGUAGCACGUGGGUGAUCUGCCCUGCACUUCGGGAUAAGCCUGGGAAACUGGGUCUAAUACCGGAUAGGACUCCUGGCUGCAUGGUUGGGGGUGGAAAGCUUUUGCGGUGUGGGAUGGGCCCGCGGCCUAUCAGCUUGUUGGUGGGGUAAUGGCCUACCAAGGCGACGACGGGUAGCCGGCCUGAGAGGGUGACCGGUCACACUGGGACUGAGAUACGGCCCAGACUCCUACGGGAGGCAGCAGUGGGGAAUAUUGCACAAUGGGCGCAAGCCUGAUGCAGCGACGCCGCGUGAGGGAUGACGGCCUUCGGGUUGUAAACCUCUUUCAGCUAUGACGAAGCGCAAGUGACGGUAGUAGCGGAAGAAGGACCGGCCAACUACGUGCCAGCCGCCGCCGUAA
rnacentral:rRNA from 1 species